rnacentral:lncRNA from 1 species
AGCACAGAAGACGAAGAGCUGGAAUAGAGCUCGCCUCGGCUCUGCUGGCCUUGGCUGCAGCUCUUCCAGAAACCCGGGGCGCCCACAGAAGAAUCUCUUACCUGGCUCUCUCUUCAGGGAUGACAUCAUCGGCUCACACCAGUCUUCCAGGACCACCUUCUGGAUGCCAAGGCUGCUGCUCGAGUACCUGCUGUGCACCUCUACCUCCUGAGCCAAGGAGCACGGAUUCCAGGAACCCACUACCAUACAGAGCAACUCCUUGUGGACCCCCCUGGGAUCAGGACAGCGAGGGACAAGCGACAAAGAGGAUCAUCAGUGGCCAGCUAGUUUCUCUGGGGUUCAAACCUUGAACCAGUGCCCUAGUGAGGGGGCACUGGCCAUGGCCCUUGACCUUUGCUCUGCUUGUGUCUUGAGUCUGAGCCCUUUCCUGUACAUCUGUGCUCGUGUUCAUCUGCUAGUGAACUGGAGUGCUGCCCUCCCCGAGGAGGGUCGUCCCUUGUGACUGAUCAUGCUGUCCUAACAAUGUCCUGAGCAAAAGGGUCCCUUUGGGAACCUCUCAGGAGGGGGACCCGGGUCAGGGGCGACCAGCAUCUUGCUGGCAACUCCGUGGGUGGGGUGGGGUGGGGUGCUUCCUUCUGGAAUGAGCACGUGGCUGACCCCCCAAGGCAUGUCCCCUCCCCCUCCUCCACCCACCUUCUCGGAGAUGUCCCUUUUGGGGUAGUGGGGACAUUAGGAGCAACCUCCUAGGGUUGUUGUGAGAAUUAAAUGAACUGCAGCAGCCUGAGGCAGGGCUGGGCAGAGACCUCAGCACAUGUUUGUUGAAAGGUUUGCAGGUGGAUCUAGUCCUCCCGUUCAUGGCUCAUGUGUCUCAACCAUUCUCUCGCAGACUCCUGCAGCCCCUAUGCCCAGGGCUCUCCUUGCGCCAGAGGUAGGUGGGAAAGAGAACUGGGAGAGCCCGGACUCACUCAUGAGAUUGAACUUAAAUUCACACGGAGGACACUUGGACUCUUGCCACAUUAGCCCCGGCUUCUCGAGGCCUGUCUACACUCGCUGCUUUCCUUCCUCACCUCCAAUUUCCCCUCCAACCCACUGCUUCCUGACUCGCUCUUCUCCAUCGAACGGCUCUCGCUCAGGCCUGUCGCGUCUUCCUGUGCCAUUUGCUGUUGUGCUCAGGUUCCACGAGCUGCCCAUCUCCACAGAAGAGCAGCUGGCAUUGCCCACCGGCCAUGCCGGCUGAAGAAAAGAAGACUGAGGACCCCAGGAUGCCCAGCGCGAGGACCCCAGGAAGCCCAGCGCGAGGACUCCACCCACGACGCCCAGCGCGAGGACUUCACGCACAACACGUUGCAACCCUCCUGGAUUAGGCCAAAGCCAUCAUCUGGAAUCCUGCGUGGGACCCUGGACACACGGACACAGACACCUGCCCCCAGGACCCUCCAACUGUAAAUCGAUUGGAAGCGCCCUUGUGAGCUGGGGCCUUCAAAGGGCUGAGGAGAAAAUGCAGGCCGAGAGACCAGCUUCUCAAAUAGGCUUCAAGCCUCCAUGACCUGAGCUCACCCCCUGGAAAUGUCUGGAAAACAUAAUGGGCAGGUUUUCUGUCUUCAAAGUUUCCAUCAAAACCUCUUCAAGUUCUUUAUUGUUUAGGACUGAGACACUUGGGGACAGUAAUGGGGACUUUCUUUUGUAUCUGUCUUGAAAGGCCAAAAUAUUUUUAUAUUGCUGUAGACAAAGCCACCUAUUUACAAAUGGACUCUUGUUCCGUCGUUUCCCACCAGGAAGACCGUACUAUGUUUGUGUCUCUAUGUAUUCUGGGGUCUUGAAACAGGUUUCUCAUGGGGAUGGCCAUUCACUAGAGCCCAGAGGGGCAGAAGGGGAAGUGUCUACCCUGCCAAGGGGGUCUGGGGAAGGAGGGGGGCUAGUCUCAGAUUUGCUCCUUGUAUGUCUAGGGUAAACCCUGGGAGAAUCUGGUGGUAAAAGAACAUAUGCUGUGUUUGCCCCACAUCUGCCAUUUGUGUGUGUUUCUGGGCUACGGGUUUGCACACUUUGGUGGUUAACAUGGUGGGAGGAAGUAAGAAGGGCCAAGAGGGCACGGGUGCUCUGGUUUUCCUGCUGGGAGGCUGUUUCACUGGUGUGUGUUACAUCACAUAAUGCAUGUUUAGCUGGGUGAGUGACAACAGUAUGAAGGGACAGAGAAACAAAUAGGUGUAGAAAGAGAGUCACAGAGCACACAGUCACCAUUCUGUGCCCAGGCGUUCAUUAAAUGUUCAAUAGAAUGCUGAGCUCUGAUAGACAGAGCGGGCCAUGGACACACUGGUAUUGGGUCAUCAUGGACCUAAGGAGUUUUUUUAAUUGAAGAAGGAAUCUUACAUAACAGAAGAAAGAAUAAGAAGAGCUGUCAAAACGAGCUCUGAGGUUUUUGAAGCCCCUUAAUAUAAACAGACAGACAAUGGCGUGAUCAGGAAAGGGAGAAAACAAACAAACAAACAAACAAGAUGCUUACAGAAAUACGAGAGGACGUGUGAGCAUGCAAAGAGAACCCAGCUAGGUUAGUAUCGGGGUGCUGGUGGAUCGUUAAUCCUGUCUGGGUACCCCAGCUCCAAGGGGAUGAGAGGCAGCAAGUGAGAGGACACAUAGGAAACUGUAACAAGACAGAGGCGAGCAGAUGGGGAGCUUCAGCGGAGUGUUAAGCUAGGCUUCGCAAUCUGACCACUUAACUCUCCCAGCAAAGAAAAGAAAGGCUUAAAUACUAAAAAGAAGGAAAGCUGGAAGAAAGGAUGGUAGAUGUGAAAGGCAUAGAGGAUAGAAAGCAAUAGGGAGUGGAGUGCAGGUGCUGUGGAGAGACGCUUGCAGGUGACUCAAUUCACCAGCCUGUGCAGCUGAGAAAGACAGCCAGUGACAAAGGAGAAGAAGAAAGGUAACAAUACACUCACAAAUAGGUAGAUGAAUGUAGCUGGAAGACGGGGCCUGGCUAGGGACGGGAUGAGAGGCUGUGUCAGCAGACUGGUUAAUUCCCAUCUGUGCUUCUGAGAUGGACAAUGACCCACCCGACCAAGAGACCUUUCAGGCAUCAAUAUGUCAGGGAGGGCUUCAAUGGGGCAAUGGAGGCGAGGCCCAUUAAUAGCAGAUUAUGAUGUAUCCAAUUAGGUGCACCUGCCCUCUGGAAGUGCAGAAACCAGUAUUGAAAUGGAAAGAAAGACUGAAUGGAAGUCCGAGAGUACAAAUGAAUGGAUGGGAAAAAAGAUUUGCAUUCGCUCUUAGGGGGAGGGUGCUGCUGAGCCCCAGGGUCAUCUGAUCUCCCGGAGAAUAAAAGGGCGAGGGAGUGAUAGAGAGUAACAAUAAGAUGGAGAAGAAAUGAAAAGGAGUACAGAGAGAAUAAGUGGGGACAAUGAAGUCUAGGAGCGCGGCUUGUUUAACACAAGUCAUCCAUAUUAAUUCAAAAUUGAGGCCCUGGGAUGGGAUGGGCUGUGUCCAAGGGAUGAAGCUGUUGCCUAGCAUGUGCCAAGUUCUGGGUUCCAUCUCCGCCUGGCAAGACAAACACAGGAAACAAAAUUAUAGCCCAGAGGUUGUAAAUGUUGUUUUUGAUGGUUUUGGGACAAAGAGCUAGAUCGGUUGGAAGAUAGAGAAAUAGGAAGAGGUGGGAAAGAGUUAGAUGAGCACAAGAGGAAGCAGCAGUUCUUAAGAUAAGUGUUUAAAUAUGGUGAAUGCGUAGCUCUUGGGUGUGUCAAGAUGAAAAUAACGAAAAGAAACAAGUUUAGGGAUGACGGCACAGGGAUGAGCGGAAGCGGUGACUUUAGUUAAUCACCGUGGCCAACUCAAGCCCUGUCAGGGAUUUAAAAAAAGGUACAAAGGCGAUAAAGGAAGACACAUGCAAUACGGAAGAGAGAGACAGGACAGACAGACACAGCGAAAAGGCUGAGGACAUGCCUGAGAGGGUCGCGAAGGGAUGAGAGAGAGAACAGCGAGAAUUCUGCUUAAUUCAAAACCGGGCUCCUGAGAUAGCUAAAUAUCUCCUGAGCCCAAACACCAGCACAGGAGAUUAAAUAACAAAAGAGCUGCAGGCAGACCCAAGUGGAGAAGGCUUGGGACCCUCAGAUCAGGCUUCAACUAAAUCUGUGCACCUGAGGUCCAUAAAUAAAAGAAUAAAUAUUGAAAUAAAGGAGUGACAGAAAGGAUGAAUGAGCACACAUGACUGAAUUAGAAAUGGAAAUGGCUAGAGCAGCCAGUAAGGAGUGGCCCAUGGGACUUCUGCUCAUCUUAUUCUGGGCACCUGAGGUCCCUUCGUGAGAAGAUGCAGGGAGAAGAGGGGAAGGGAAAGGCAUGAGAGCAAAUGAAAGAGAGGCGAGGAGAGGAAAUGAGAAAGUGGCAGAGAGGGGAAGCGAUCGGUGGGUGCCUCGGAAGAGGAAUGUCCACGAGGAUUAAUAACGAGGCUCUCAUUAAUCCUAAAGAUCGAUGAGGUAAUCCAGACCCAGGUUCUUAAGGGGAAGGAGAAUGGAGAGAAUUAAAAAAAAAAGACGCAAAAAAAGGAGAGAAAGAUAAUAAAACAAGCAACAUGAUGAAUGGGUAAUUAAGAGAGGCUGUCUGGACAGAAAUAGUAAUGAGUUCCCAUGCAUAGUCCUUAAAUAGAUAAAUACAUUAUACCUUUCAAAGAAUGCGUGAAAAAUCGAAGAACACCAUGGCCCCCAAACAAGGCUGCACCUUCCAUUGCUGUAAUAAAAUACAUGCAGCGGAGAGCCAUAAAUAACGGAAAAUACUUAAAUGUAAAAGGUGACCAGACAGAGGGAGAAGAUUGCAAGCCCAGAUACACGAGGGAGGGAGGCGAUGUUUGCUUUGCAUGUGUAAUACAAUUAUGUUCACAGGAAAUUAAUAGAUUUAAAAAAAAAAUCCAAACUAAGACUGGGAGAAAAAACAAGGAAGAGAGGGAAGCGAGAUCUGAGAGAUGGGGCUGAGACUCCCGGGGUAGGCUCAGCAUGGUUUUGACUAUUCUGCACAUCCGGACUUAGAAAAGUGAGUUUGUCAGGGCAGGAAGAGAAAGGUGAAAUCUGGAGCGGGCAGAGCUGGGCAGAUGGAUAGAAAAGGAAUGGAAACUACACAGGUUGUGUGUGUGUGUGGGGGGGGGAAGUGGGGGCUCUAAGAUCUGAGGUUAGGCUUGUUUAAAGCUGAGCCAUUGUUGUCCCCAGAGGAAUCAAAUCUUACUGCUUUUGUGAAGGAAGAGAGGAUGGCAACGAUAUUGCAGGAAAAGAGGGAAGGGGGUAGGCAAGGAGGCAGGGAGGAACUUUCAUGUGCUAUUCGCUGACUGGGAUUGGUAAUAGAUAGCUCUUGGCCCACCACAAGCUGCUUCCACACAGCCUAACUGACUGGGAGCAGCUAUGGAUCACCAUGGCCAUGUUUUGCUUGCAGGGGGCCAUUUCACUGUCUGUCACAUCUUCAGUCCAUAGACACAUCCCUGCACAGUGCCCUUUCCAUAGACGUGGAUAGGAGGGAAGGGCUCAGGCCUGGGGCUGUGGAGAUGAUUGCAUGAAUAGGGGGCGCUAUGCCCAGUGGGUACCUUGUCUCCUCUCUGGGAAAGGAUCUCUUCUGAUCCUGAUGGGAAGGGGCUUAGCCAGCCAAAGGGCAGGGAUAGGAGGCUUUGUCUGCUGCCUGCUGGCUACCAUCUUGAGUGUGACUUACACCAGGGUGCAGACAAAGUGAGCUUGACCUGGAAGCCUAGAGGCCCAAGAGGCCCGGGUGAAGCAAGUAUCUCUGAGAUCAAGCCUACCCUUCAGCUCAGAGAGUGGACCCCUGCCUAGGCUCCCACACAUGAUCCUAGGUCCCAGAUAUGCCACCCCUGGAGCCCGUUUCAAGGCCCAUCUUCCAGAAUGUUUAAACCUGUGUAUGUAACCAGUAAAAUGGGAGUUUGUACUGUGUAUUGAAUCUGUCUUCUUAUUGGCCUCUGUGGGCUGCUGGGGGAGACCUGGAGAGUUGUUUAUUCUAGUGUCCCCCACCCCCUGGGACUCUUUGCUUUUGCCCAGUUUUCUUUCUCUGUUGUGGAUAAGAUUUUGUAGAGUUGUGUGUUGUAUGCUUGUGUUUGACCAUUAAAAAAAAAAAAAAAGUCACAGCCCUCCUUGAUUUCUCAAUUCCUAUUGGGGGUGCUAAAUUCCAAACCAAACCAAUCCAAACCAGAUUCAUGUCAAGUGCCCAACAGGAGGAUAAUAGCUUGGCUGGAUCAAGGGAGCAUGUGCAGACCCAAGAACAGAGUGGACAGAUGGGCUAUACCGCAAGGGGGCUUUGAGAGCUGAGUGCAGGCUAAGUAGAGAGAAGGUAUGGAAGGUUGGGGAGGGUGGGGCUGCUGCUACCUGAGUUGCUGAGGGUCUGAGACACCAGCAAGGAGGAGGGGCCCCUGGAAGAAGCGUUUUGAGAUGACUGAAGAUGGAAGAUGGGCGCUCCCUACGCUUCUAGCUUCAAGGUUUUUAGUGUACGCCAGCCGCCUCCGAUCGUGGAAGACACAGCCUAACCUUGUCAGAAGCCACCUUCUGUGCCCCCAGCACCACGUGUCUGGGCCACGUGAGCAACGCCACGUGGGCCUGACGUGGAGCUGGGGCCGCAGGGGUCUGAUGGCCUCCUGUUUCAGAAUCUGGGGCGUUUAUCAUCCUUGGGACAACUGCUGACCUGGCUCCGGAAGAUUGUCCACACAAGUCUGAGUGACGGAGUGAGAUGAGGGGGCGGGUGGAGAUGCUCAGAAGAAAACAGCCUUUGCAUGGGGUUCAUUUCCAGCUGUUUAGAGAGUCAGCCAAGGUGACAAGGUGGGGUUGGAUGCGGAGAAGAAUGCUGGGACUACAUGUGGGCUACAGCUGUGAAGUCAGUGACAUGGGGCAGCAUGGGGAUGGGUCUCUAGGUGGGCCUUGUCUCAACAUUCAUGCCAGAAGAUUGGAAGGGGUACCAUGGGUUACUGUGGGUCAGUGGGACCUUGGAAGGAACAAGGGCUUGGGUAGGUGACUUUGCCAUGUCACCUUGGGAUCUAGUUGUUUUGAGUCUUUGACUCUUAAUCUGAUCUUGAAUAACAAAUGUCUCUAGUUCUGGGGUUCUGAGAGUCUGUGGUAGGAUUCCCUAGGAUUCGUGUGGGGAGGGCGGUCUGCAUGUGCUCCCAAGUUGGUGUCCCAGCCCUUCUGCCUGCUCAGGGCUGUCUUAGACAUAUUUGCUUUUCCUUUCAACAUCAUAAAAGAAGGCAAAUUUUGUCUUUUGAUUGACACUCAUAUGCAAACCACAACAUCCUUUCUCUGAUAAUACUGGGACCUACAGCUCUCCUCGGCUCCCCCCGCUAUUUGAGCCCACCUUUGGGGCAGGUAGGCCAAAGGCCCUGGUGUUUUCUGAGGUGAAGUUGUUAAUGUAAAGAUGUGUAACUCAGAGCAGGGGGAAGAAACACACCCUCAACUCUGCUUCCCCGUGCUCCAUCUUCCUUUCUGCCUUCCAAAUUCUUAUGAACACCGUUUUUUUUUUUAAAUUUUUUUCCAUUUAAUGAGCAUCCUUUUUUUUUUUUUUAAAGCUCCAUUGGUGGUGCUUACUUUUCUGUUGGUGUUUUGUGUCUGUUGCAAUGAGCAUCUUGCUGUCCACGUUUUCGUUGCUCCAUGGUCUCUCUCACCUGCUUGAGUUCCAUUGAAUGGCUAUGACAUAAUGAUCUACCCAUCUUACUGUUGCUGAUGCAUGAUCAUCUCCUGUCCUGUUUUUUUUUUUUAUUUUACAUUACCGAUGACACCAUAACUAAUGGCUUUGCACAACCAGCUUUCCCAGCAUCCCUAGCGCCCCCUACAUCUAGCUCUUCCCAUGGUUCCUUUCUUUUCUCCUUGCUUCCUUCUGCUAGACUGUGAGCCCACUCAGGGCAAGGAGCUUGUGGAACUGCGCUCUGUAUUUCUUGUAGGAUGUCUAUGAAUGUUGACUGCGUGUGUGUGUGUGUGUGUGUAUGUGUGUGUGUGUGUGUGUGUGUGUGUGCGUGUGUGCGUGUGUGCACGUGUGCGUGUGUGCGUGUGUGCAUGUGUGCGUGUGCGUGUGUGUGUGUGUAAGGGUGGACAGGUAUGAGUGAUGGAGUGAUUGAAAGAUUGGCAGACAGAUGAGAGGCUAGAUGAAUGGAUGAGUGAAUGAAUGAAUGAAUGAGUGAGUGAAUUAAUGGAUGGGUAUAUUCUCUGGUUGAGCUUCUUGGAUGAAAGGGUAAUGUUUGAAUGGCUGUUGGUUGAUUGAAGAAAGCCUACAGUAUUUUAUCUUGUCUGAUAAUGUAUUAGCAUUUAAGCUGAUGUAUUAGUAUUUAAGGUGUCUGCUGACUUUCCUCACCUCUCUGUUAAAAAAUGCUUUUGUGUGUGUAAAACUUGUUCUAAUUACUAAUGAAGGCUGAAUACUUUUCACCCAUGUUUGUUAACAAAUUGUAUCUUAUCUUCUGUGAACUGUUUGUCCAAGUCCAGUGGCUCAUGGCUCUUUCAGGCUCUUGGUUGAGGGUGUCCUUAGACUAGGCAAUGGCCUUUCACAGAUAUCUACAGAAUGAUGUGAGAGGCUCAGCUGACUUCUAGCUCGGCAUUAGAAUUUACUUACCCUGGGAAACAGGGAGGCUGAUAUCUUGCACCAGCAGGUAGAAAACACUUUUAGGCUUGUGUCUGGGUUCACCAUGCAUUUCUAGCUUGUGAGCCCUGACCUGUGCUCUGUACCUCUUGUGGUGUGGCAGUCCUCCACCUUGUCCUCCUGAGUGAUAGACUACAUAUAUGCCUCUCCCCUGUUCUGGGGUGUAGUCUCUGAGGCCAUGUCUUAGAGGAACUGGCUUCUUAGUGCUCUGUCUAGACAUCCCCUUAGCUCUAGUCUUCCCAUGCACCUCAGUGGCAGGUGUGGUCUUAAUUUAGGGAAUGAAUGAGAAAUUCAGUUCAGGACUGAUGUGACCCUCAGGUUAGUUCUAGGAGCAAGGCCAUUUUAUGGUCUCGGCUCUUCCCAACCUCCUCACAGGGCAGUUAUAGCCAUCUGGGUAGGGUGUGUGUUCCGGGAGAGCUCAUCCUGCCAUCCAGAACUCCCUCCCACACUCUAUUAUAGCACUUAGCGUGUCUGCCUGUGUUCAGCCCUCUCACCCCAUGCUUAUCUGGACAUUGAAGCUUGGAAAGCCAGUGGUGACUUCAACUGACUUUUAAUUCAUCCACCCAUCCAUCUGGCUAUCCAUCUAGCCAUCUGUCAGUCAAUCCAUCCAUCCAUCCAUCCAUCCAUUCAUCCAUCCAUCCAUGCAUACACACAUUGGGCCUCCAUCACUUGACCUGGUGCUUUGGGCCUCUCUCCCUCUCCUGAAAGCAAACCCCUUCACCUUGGGCAAGCUGUGUGAUACCAUGGGCUGUGGUCAUGAAGCAAGGCCCCCAUUCACAGCCUCCUCCUCCUCCUCCUAGGUCACGGCUCUGAGCACGUCCCAGCUGGACCCCUAUCACCACAGCUUUUUCUCCAUAAGGCUUCUCACACCUCACACCCUCCUCCUGUGAUCCAGGAGGGCCAGAUUCCCAGAGUGCCCUGGGGCUGGCCCUUCCCACCAUCCGCGGAGCUGCCUCCCCAGGCUUCACACUGCCUGGUGCAUGGUCCCUGUCAUGAGCUUGGCCUUCACCUUUGCAGCUUCCUCCACCAGAUGGCAGUGGUUGUGACUCGUGUGCCCAUUCCUUCGCACCUUCAUUCAUUCAUUCUCUUACAGCCAGCAAGCAUCUCUUUAAAAAAAAAAAAAUUAGCUAGUGCUAUACUAGAGCCGGCUCACAAGCACCCAUUGCACCACUGUCCUUUGAAAGAAAAGAUGGGGACAUUUGUAAAGAAGCUGUGUUUGUGUGGCCAAUAAGAGGAGCUCCUUGAUUUCAAUUCAAACUUCAGGUCUGAGUUCUAUUGCCAGCUUGAUUGCUCUCUCCAAUUUUGUUCCUCACAAAACUAGGUUGAUUAGUAAUCAGCAAACUGUGUUCCCUGGGUGCUCAGAAAUCAUAGCCCAGAUCCUUAAGAGGCCCAAAUGGGGAGUGGACUAAGCACGAAGCAGCUGCCUCUGGCUGCGAGCAGGCUUUCAAGGCUGUGAGACACUCUGUUCUUCUAUGAGGAUGAUCUGAGAGCCGUUCUGGCCACUUUGGAGCUCAGCUAAUGCUUGGCUCCUUUUUAGAGAAAAUUGCAGGAGAUGGAUGCUCGUACAAGUGACAAGGAUCAUGUCCCAAUGUCCUUUCUGAAUAAUCCAUUCGCAGACCCAGGCGAGCAAGGCACAUGGCACUUUGCAAACCCCUGUGUGUUUCAGGAGGACCCAUGCUAGGGGAGGCCUCCUUUCAGCUUUCUGCUGUGAAGGGGAAGAGACGCAGGGCUCUUCUGAGUUCUCCUCCCACUAGACGCAGUAGGGGCGGCAAGGCCAGAACCUGGAGCUGGACAAAUUGUGUGAUGGAUCUUGCCUCAGGGCUGUUGUGAGGAUUGGUAUAACUGGACACUUCUGACUGUGACCCUAAAAGGCAGUGUAUGUGUCCCUGGGGGUGUGCCAGAGCAUUGGAAACCCUAGCCCUGGAGUGGGGGUGGCCUUGCUUGGGUAUAAUGGGGAAUACUUUGUAUCUGUUAAAUUUGUAUAUUUUCCUAUAGAGACUUUAACACCACGGGAUAGGGGACUCUUUAGAUAGUACCUGUGCCCUCCGCCCCCCUCGGACACAUCCACACCUACCUCUAGGAGAGGUUGGGGUUGUCUUUAGCUCUCUGACUGAGGACCAAGCCUCUGACUCAGAACUGUAUAUGGCACCUAGUUACAUCCCUUUCCAAAAGGCUCUUCCCAGGGGAGCACUCGGCCCGAUCUGGCAGACCCCAUUGUCCCUUUCCCAAUGUCCUCUCUCCCACUAACAGCAUCAGGCCAAACUGCCUGAGAUCUGGUGCCUACCACAGUGCCUGGCCAGGGGUAGGGCUUCAGUGACCUUCUGUUGUAUUUGUGUAGGUAGAUGAGUAGCUAACAAUUGUAACAGGUCCUAGGGGCAGAUGUGUAUGGUCUCAUUCAGUGGUUUGUAAUGGAGAAUGUAUCUGAACCCAUAUCAAGCCAUCUCUCUUCCUUAACAUGUUAAGCAGCCACUGCUGUCCUGGGUUGUUUUGCACCUUGCCUUGUUGUCUUUCAUGCUAAGUAAAAAAAAGUCCUGCUUUCUGCUGAGAGUCUGUUUCUUCUGGAACUCACCUAGGUGUGAUCUGGCAGGGCUGCUAAGCUGUGUCUCUGCCCCUCUGACCCGUAGUCUUCUUCUCUCUCAGGUGUGCGUCACUGGCAAGCCUACCUCACAGGGUUGUUGUGAGGGCUAAGGGCUGAUCGGCUGUAACAGUGUGAUGUCCAUGCUGGCUGUCACCAGGGAUGGUGCCAUGAUGGGGUUGGCUUGAAAUCACAACCUAUACCGUUAUUAGUGGUCACUGAAUAAAGAGUCUCACUGUGGACACUGAGGUUGUAUAUCCAGCCGUCGAUGUGGUAUUCGAGGCUGGCUGUGUGGUCCUGGCUAAAAAAAAAAAAAAAAAA